UUUGCUGCUACUGCUGUAGGUGCUUCUGCCAUGGUCUUGCAGGACAUCUUCUAGUUGUGGAAAUGAUUUGUUUGUUUGGGUGACUGAACAGAAGACUGGAUGGUUCAUAUUGGAAAGGUGCUGUUGUUAUGGUUACCUGUGUUGUGGAUGAUGAGGUUGCUGGUGUAGGAGACCUGAACAUUACUGGCUACUGUUCAUUACUAGAAGAGAAUGCAGAGGAUUGUCAAGAUGUACAUUGUACAUGUCCAUCUGUUCAGACAGUACACAAGGUGAAUGAAGAUGGAACAUAUCCAUUUCAUCAAAAUUGUUCUCUUCUCAAUUGUUUUAUUUUGAUCUUGAAACUGCUACCUUCCUUGUUGGAGAAGUAACGUUGUCCCCCCUCCCUUAUCACCCCUCCCCCUUAUCAUCCCUCCCCCUCCCCUCCCCUCCUCCUUAUCACCCCUC